ACUGAUUUGGUCCUAGUCCUUUACUUUGCUCUUUCUUUAAUGAUACAUGCAAGUCAAUUACACCCCUGUGAGAACCUAUAAACAUUAUAUUCUUAAACAAAAUGUUUUAAUAAAUAUUAGCCACAACAUUAUUUUAAGCUAAAAUAUUAAGAAAUUUUUCCACAACUGCAGUACUUAACAUUUUACAAUUAGUGAAAACUUGAUACAGAAAAAGAAAAAAGAGUUGGUAAAUUAUGUGCCAGCCACCGCGGUUAUACAUAAAACUCUAGUUAAAAUUUAACGGUAAAAAAGGUGGUUAAAUGUAAAUAAUUAUAAAGAUUAACAUAAUUCUCCAGCAGUAAUAAGCUAAUAGUAAUUCUAAUCCAAUAAUCUUACCAAUUAAUUGAACCCACGAAAACUCAAAAAUAAACUGGGAUUAGAUACCCCACUAUAUGAGUUGUAAAAUAUAAGACAUUACCUGAGAACUACAAAUUAAAUUUUAAAACUCUAAGGACUUGGCGGUUUUUUAAAUCUACCUGGAGGAGCUUGCUAUAUAACCGAUAACCCACGAUACACCUUACCAAUCUUUGAAAAAUCAAUCUGUAUACCAUCGUCAUCAGUCUACCUUCUAAGAGAAGUCCACAAAAAGAAUAAAUCACCUUCAUUACGUCAGAUCGAGGUGCAGUUAAUAGAUUGGGAAUAAGCGAGCUACAAUACUCUAAUAAUAACCUUGUAUUAAUAUAACUAUAAAUAAAUUUAUGAAACAAAUUUUGAAAUAGAAUUCAGAAGUAAUAAAAAAAAGAAAAAUUUUAUGA
rnacentral:rRNA from 1 species